GGUCAAUGAUGAGGUGGCAUGUAUUCUGAAUCUAAAGUUGAUUAUAAACUACUUUAGCUCUAGAAUUACUCUGAGACCUG
ensembl:snoRNA